AUUGAACGCUGGCGGCAUGCUUUACACAUGCAAGUCGAACGGUAACAGGUUAAGCUGACGAGUGGCGAACGGGUGAGUAAUGCAUCGGAACGUGCCCGGUCGUGGGGGAUAACGCAGCGAAAGCUGCGCUAAUACCGCAUACGAUCUGAGGAUGAAAGCGGGGGACCGUAAGGCCUCGCGCGAUCGGAGCGGCCGAUGUCAGAUUAGGUAGUUGGUGGGGUAAGGGCUCACCAAGCCAACGAUCUGUAGCUGGUCUGAGAGGACGACCAGCCACACUGGGACUGAGACACGGCCCAGACUCCUACGGGAGGCAGCAGUGGGGAAUUUUGGACAAUGGGGGCAACCCUGAUCCAGCAAUGCCGCGUGAGUGAAGAAGGCCUUCGGGUUGUAAAGCUCUUUUGUCAGGGAAGAAACACCGGCUCUAACACAGUCCGGGAAUGACGGUACCUGAAGAAUAAGCACCGGCUAACUACGUGCCAGCAGCCGCAGUAA
rnacentral:rRNA from 1 species